UUGCAGGCAGUAGAUUGUGGGACUUCUCAGCCCCAUGCUUGUCUAAUGAACAGUGGACUGGCUGAAGAAAGACCAGCAUGAAGCAGAAAAAUUGUUUGGUGAAAAAUUCAAGAAUGGGCCAAUAUCCAUUAAAAGAUUGAAAGAGGAGAUGUUUUGGGUCCACCUCCACUGGGGACAGAAAUUCCAUUCUGCCAACACCCCCUCCAUAUCCAUUGUCUGAAAGAGGCACUGCUGUUGAGUCAUAAGUAGGCUCCAGUGGCCCAUGUUGACCCUUUGAAAUUCCCAUGGGACUGUCAAUUCUAUCUAUUCUGGGAGCAGCCAACCAUAGCUAAUUACAGGCCUGUGGUAUUAGUGGAACAAGCUUCAGCUUUUUACAUUGGCUUGAUGGAGAACUGAGUAGAUAUAAAAGUGUUACAUGUUUUUCUGUAAUCAUAAUAACGUAAUCUUGUUUCAUAAUCAUUAAUAAUUCCUAACAUUUAUUGAAGAGUUAAUAUGUGUUGAGUAUUUUUGUAAGUGCUUAACAUGCAGUUUUUAAAAUUUUAACUCCUUUUUACAGAAAAGGUUUACAGAACGCCAGAGGGGUAGGUGAUUUUGCCAGAGCUCUUUUAGGUAAUAGGAAACAAAGCCAUAAAUUUGAUCCCAGCUAGUUUGACCCCAUAGUCCAAGCAUUAAUCCCUGAACCACACUAGCUCUGGCAAGGGUAUAAAUGAGCAGUGAUUACUAACUGACUUAAAACACAAUAGGAAUUAUCCCCAGUGAAUUCCAACAUAUAAAGGGACACUAAUUCUUGCCAUAGAAAAUCUAUUUGAUAAGUAUGAACAAGAAUUCCAAGGUUAUCAAAAAUAAUUUCUAAUAGUUUAAUUCUUUAAAAGAAAUGGUGUAUCUCAUGGACACAGGAAGGGGAACAUCACACUCCGGGGACUGUUGUUGGGUGGGGGGAGCGGGGAGGGAGAGCAUUAGGAGAUAUACCUAAUGCUAAAUGACAAGUUAAUGGGUGCAGCACACCAACGUGGCACAUGUAUACAUAUGUAACAAACCUGCACAUUGUGCAAAU
rnacentral:lncRNA from 10 species